AUUGAACGCUGGCGGCAUGCCUUACACAUGCAAGUCGAACGGCAGCACGGGAGCAAUCCUGGUGGCGAGUGGCGAACGGGUGAGUAAAGUAUCGGAACGUGCCCAGUCGUGGGGGAUAACGUAGCGAAAGUUACGCUAAUACCGCAUACGAUCUAUGGAUGAAAGCGGGGGAUCGCAAGACCUCGCGCGAUUGGAGCGGCCGAUAUCAGAUUAGGUAGUUGGUGGGGUAAAGGCUCACCAAGCCGACGAUCUGUAGCUGGUCUGAGAGGACGACCAGCCGCACUAGGACUGAGAAACGGCCCAGACUCCUACGGGUGGCAGCAGUGAGGAAUUUUGGACAAUGGGCGCAAGCCUGAUCCAGCCAUGCCGCGUGCAGGAUGAAGGCCUUCGGGUUGUAAACUGCUCUUGUAUGGAACGAAAAGGUUUGACUUAAUACGUUGGACUCAUGACGGUACCGUAAGAAUAAGCACCGGCUAACUACGUGCCAGCCGCCGCAGUAA
rnacentral:rRNA from 1 species